rnacentral:rRNA from 1 species
UAGGGAAUCUUCCGCAAUGGACGCAAGUCUGACGGAGCAACGCCGCGUGAGUGAAGAAGGAUUUCGGUUCGUAAAACUUUGUUGUUAGAGAAGAACAGCGCAUAGAGUAACUGUUAUGCGUGUGACGGUAUCUAACCAGAAAGCCACGGCUAACUACGUGCCAGCAGCCGCGGUAAUACGUAGGUGGCAAGCGUUGUCCGGAUUUAUUGGGCGUAAAGCGAGCGCAGGCGGUCAAUUAAGUCUGAUGUGAAAGCCCACGGCUCAACCGUGGAGGGUCAUUAGAAACUGGAAAACUUUAGUGCAGAAGAGGAAAGUGUAAUUCCAUGUGUAGCGGUGAAAUGCGCAGAGAUAUGGAGGAACACCAGUGGCGAAGGCGACUUUCUGGUCUGUAACUGACGCUGAUGUGCGAAAGCGUGGGGAUCAAACAGG